rnacentral:sRNA from 1 species
AUGACUGCCGAAGACAGCAGGUGCUUUUGAUUAGCGUAAGUGAUAGACACGCCUGCCGAGGAUGAUAUGAGAUUCGAUUUCUAUGAAUUUAUACAACCUCUGCGUCUUACGGACCGGAGGUUUUUUAUAUG